UUCAGGUCAUAUAGUCACUGUUUCCAGCACUAGCCAAACUUGGCUGAUCUCGAGGAAAGCUAAGCAGUAUUUGACCUGUUUACUGUUUGCAUGGGAGACCACCAGGGAAUAUAGGAUACUCUAGAAA
ensembl:rRNA 5S_rRNA 5S ribosomal RNA